AGAGAUAGGCUGGCAGCCAUUCAUACCUGUCAAACACAUCAGUACACAGUGGAUACAGCCUUUCACACCAUCAGGAAAAACAAGGAUGAAAAACACUUGAACAUCACUGUUUUCCAGGAAGUAGGGUGUGACCUCUUUUCGACAGAUGGGGUGAAAACACACAAGUGGACCAGCAGCUCCCGCCACAAAUAAAGAGUCUGGAAAUGCAGGGCCACUCAUGGGCAGCAGCUUCUUGUCCAGUCGUCACCAAUAAAGAGAAUCCCCACCACGGUCCUAGUGCCAAGGUGGCCACUGAGUGCAACAGGUGGAAGAAAACGGAAUCUUGAAUAAGAAAACGUGUUCUACUCCCAACUGCUACCUUUCAACCCCAAGCGGUGCUGACAUGAAAAAUGGCAUAUAAUGAGCUCUUCUACAGAGCAGGUAAAUAAGCAGCGAUCAAGACUGCUCAUGUAAAAAAAUAAAAAUCAUUCCUUUUCAAUUCCAAUAAAACAAAACUCAACUCCUCAGGAAAAACAUACCAAGCCUAAGGCCACUGGGUAGGGAAAUCCCAGAGAUGACAUGGUGUCCAACUGGAUCUGCUCACCGAGGGGCAAAUCACUAAUUCAGAUCUUUUGACUUAGAACUUAUUUGGCUCCUGGAAACUUCUUUAUGAAAAGAAACACAACCAGUCUGCUACAAAUGACAUUUCAGUAGCAUAUUUAUAGAAUAGUUGAAAGGAACAAAGAAACUGCCUUUGCUGCUUGAUUCCACAAUAAACUGUAAAGGGGGAAAACAAGCCCAAACCUCACACUGUGUAUCCAUAAAAAAACUGGCAGCUCCUGGCUUCACAUGAACUCUAGGUACCCGCACAAGACCCUUCCCAGGCUGAGAGUCCUACCGUGCUGCCUGGGCCCCCUUGUCAUCAUCGGAGCUCACGCCUACAUCACAUGUGUCUUCUGCAGCAGCAGAUGCGGCCUGCUCUUCCUUCUUACUGUCCUGUUUGUAUUUCUUUCUCCUUCGUUUUUUCUUUUUCACAGAACUUGGAGUAAAAAUUGUCUCUGUUUCCAAGACGUGUGAGAUGUCUGAACUCUGAGAUGGUGUUUCAUCUCCACCCGAUUUCACCAAAGGGGUGUCAAUAUCUUUAAAGAACUGAUCUUCAGUAGGAAUUGGUGAGGUGGCAAGGUAAGCAGGAAGCUUUUCCUUGAGGAGAAUGGAGAAAGAAAAGUUAUCCAUGACAAACUCGACAGUGAAUUAAAGCAGUAAUAUUUUGAAUAUAUAAAUUUUCACCAUGGUAAAAAAAAAAAAAAUACAUAUUCCCUAAAGGCAAGAAAGUCCCACUGAACUAAGGCACUGCCUACUAUACUCUGACGAGGUCUUUCCCCUGUGAGGCAGCUAAGUACCAGCCCACUUGGGUACAUGUAACUGAGUCCAUCUGAAGGAACUGACAUGCCAAGUCAGCAUGGAACACCCCAAAGCCAUAAUUAAAGCUAAGCCUAUUAAAUUCUUCACAAAGCAAAGAUCAAAGCAGCAACAAAAAUCUCAGGAGGUGUUACAAAGGACUCUCUCAAGAACUCACACAGAACAUUCAGAACAGGAAAAAGCAGAAGGCAGAGAUUAAGGACACUACAUCAGACAAAGGGCAGCAGGACAGGUGAGUGACGCGAGGAUGCAGUGAUACAGAGCGGCCAAUGCUUAUGUUUUGCCAAAUUAAUUGGAGAAAGGCAAUUAGAGACAAUACCGUGUAACAAAUGACAUUAGUAAAUUUUUAAACCAUAAAGCAUUUAUGUUUAAAAAUAAGAAAUAUUCCUUCCUGUAGGAAUUCAAAAGAAGAAAAUAAGGCCCAAUAUUUAGAAGCAGUCAAACUCCUAAUACUAAAUAAACGAUCAAGUCUGGUGUUCAGUAAAUUCAUGUCUUAGCCAUUUGUUUCAUUCCUUUUUGUAUCAUCAGAGGAAAUGGAAGGUACAUAAUAGAGAUAAAAAUUAACUUCAGGCAGAACGUGGUGGCUCACGCCUGCAAUCCCAGCACUUUGGGAGGCAGAGGCAGGCGGAUCACCUGAGGUCAGGAGUUUGAGACCAGCCUGGCUAACAUGGUGAAACCCUGUCUCUACUAAAAAUACAAAAUUAGCUGGGCCUGGUGAUGCAUGCCUGUAAUCCCAGCUACUCAGGAGGCUGAGGCAGAAGAAUUGCUUGGACCUGAGGGGGAGGUUGUAGUGAGCCGAGAUCAUGCCACUGCACUCCAGCCUGGGCAACAGAGCGAGACUCCAUCUCAAAACAAACAACAAAAAAAUUAACCUCAUAUAAUUUAAAAUACUCAAGCUUUUAAACAAUAGUUCUGAAAAUGUAUAGGUUUCUGUAAUUAUUUUUUUAUUAAGCUUUUGAACUUAGCUUUGAUAAACAUAUUACCCUGAAGCUAAAGUUUGAUUUAGCUAGGAGAAAUCUGUGUUCACCAGAAACACACACUUACAGAGAAAUUGUAAUAAGAUAUUCUGAAUGUCCAAAAGAAACCCAGAUGAGAGGUCGUGGUCUCUGACUUUGAGGAUUUUUAAUUCAAUGAUCUUUAUUUUACUUACUGAAAGCUCUUUUUGUUUCUGGUGGUAUUUCUUAGUUCUAUUAUAGCAAUGUUUGUAGGAUGAAGAUAACCUGAACGCCUACCAGCAAGAAAAUGGUUAAACAAACUAUGGUAUGUCCAUACUAUGGAAUACUGUGCAGCUAUUAAAAGCACAGAGUUAGGUUUAGAACUAGACUUGAAAAGAAUGUUGAUGACAUAUAAUUAAAUGAGAAAAAUCUGAGAGAAAAAAAUCAAAUAAAUGGCAACAAACUGGGUUUUUGGUCAUCUUUAUCCUACUCUAAAUGACGAACCCCUAGAGGAACAGAGGCAUGUUGUAUUCAUAGCAUGUGGCAUAGAGUAGUAAUUCCAACAUUUGUUGGAUAAAUUAACAAUUUUUUAUUUUAAGGAGAAGCAUACUACACAAGAUAAACUCUGGUCAAUGUAGUCAUAUGUGGAAUAGGGAGAAAAAGGCUGGAAAGUUGACAUUUUCCAAGUUGUCCUUGCUGAGCAUAAUUUUUAGCGGAACUGUCAGAAUAAGCCAUGAAAACGAGGUUAACAUCAAUAACCCAGUCCUCUCGCUUACGGUGCCUGCUGAUCUAGAAGUUCAGUGUUAUGAAUUAUAAAUAAUUUUAAGAAACAUACAAAAAGUGGUUUUUUUUUUUGACAGAUGUCAUUUAUUAUGUUUCAUUCUGCUCUUUGCCUCUGUCUCUGAUAAGGAAAAAUGUUGCUUAGGCCAAGUAAAUGCAAACAAGGUAUUACAAAGAUAAGUAAUGAAGAAACUAGAAAAAGCACCAGUCUGAUCAAGCUUCCCCUUCAUAAAUCAUAGUGUUUCAAUGCUGCUUUACCUACUGGUACCUAAGUUGUUGGUUUCUCAAUCAAAAAAUGAUAAACAAUC
rnacentral:lncRNA from 1 species